AGAGUUUGUUUCUGUCUCAGGACGAACGCUGGCGGCGUGCCUAAUACAUGCAAGUUGAGCGCUGAAGGUUGGUACUUGUACGAACUGGAUGAGCAGCGAACGGGUGAGUAACGCGUGGGGAAUCUGCCUUUGAGCGGGGGACAACAUUUGGAAACGAAUGCUAAUACCGCAUAAAAACUUUAAACACAAGUUUUAAGUUUGAAAGAUGCAAUUGCAUCACUCAAAGAUGAUCCCGCGUUGUAUUAGCUAGUUGGUGAGGUAAAGGCUCACCAAGGCGAUGAUACAUAGCCGACCUGAGAGGGUGAUCGGCCACAUUGGGACUGAGACACGGCCCAAACUCCUACGGGAGGCAGCAGUAGGGAAUCUUCGGCAAUGGACGAAAGUCUGACCGAGCAACGCCGCGUGAGUGAAGAAGGUUUUCGGAUCGUAAAACUCUGUUGGUAGAGAAGAACGUUGGUGAGAGUGGAAAGCUCAUCAAGUGACGGUAAC
rnacentral:rRNA from 1 species